AAAAAAGUAUCAAAUUCCAUCUACCUCCUGCUCCAUUGGAGUCAUUUAGGAAAAGCCUUUUGAAUUCUAAUCUAACCAGUCACAAUUCACAGGCAGUGGAUUGCUAGAAAGCAAAGAAUUGAUUUCUUGCAGAUGCAAUUCUCAUCAAGAUUGAUUUUCUUUCCUUGUGGGCAAAAAAACAAACAGGAACUGAACAAGAGCUACCAAAAUUAAAUACGCCAUAGCUAAAGCAAGAAGCUAGAUCUUGUACUCAAACCAUAGAGUUAGCAUCCGGCAAACCUUGGUGGAGAUCAACGGAGGAAGCCGCCGUCGCCGUCCCAUUAUUAGGACGCUUGGCAGGUACAGAAGCUCGACAAACAGGACAAUUAGAAUGAGAAUUCAGCCACAAAUUGAUACAAGAAGCAUGAAAGCUAUGCUUGCACACACUCAAUUGCUUCACUUCUUCC
rnacentral:misc_RNA from 1 species